GAUAUGGCUAGUGCUUCAUCCAGCCAGAGAGGUCGAAGUGGUUCCGGAAACUUUCGUGGUGGUCAUGGAGGUGGUUUCGGUGGCAAUGACAAUUUUGGUCGAGGAGGGAACUUCAGUGGUCGUGGUGGCUUUGGUGGCAGUCAUGGUGGUGGUGGAUAUGGUGGCAGUGGGGAUGGCUAUAAUGGAUUUGUCAAUGAUGGUGGUUAUGGAGGAGGCGGCCCUGGUUACUCUGGAGGAAGCAGAGGCUAUGGAAGUGGUGGACAGGGUUAUGGAAACCAGGGCAGUGGCUAUGGCGGGAGUGGCAGCUAUGACAGCUAUAACAACGGAGGAGGCAGAGGCGGCUUUGGCAGUGGUAGUGGAAGCAAUUUUGGAGGUGGUGGAAGCUACAAUGAUUUUGGCAAUUACAACAACCAGUCAUCAAAUUUUGGACCGAUGAAAGGAGGAAACUUUGGAGGCAGGAGCUCUGGCCCUUAUGGUGGUGGAGGCCAGUACUUUGCUAAACCACGAAACCAAGGUGGCUAUGGAGGUUCCAGCAGCAGCAGUAGCUAUGGCAGUGGCAGGAGGUUCUAAUUACAGCCAGGAAACAAAGCUUAGCAGGAGAGGAGAGCCAGAGAAGUGACAGGGAAGCUACAGGUUACAACAGAUUUGUGAACUUAGCCAAGCACAGUGGUGGCAGGGCCUAGCUGCUACAAGGAAGACAUGUUUUAGACAAUACUCAUGUGUGUGGGCAAAAACUCCAAGACUGUAUCUGUGACUAAUUGUAUAACAGGUUAUUUUAGUUUCUGUUCUGUGGAAAGUGUAAAGCAUUUCAACGAAGGGUUUUACUGUAGACCUUUUUCACCCAUGCUGUUGAUUGCUAAAUGUAAAAGUCUGAUCAUGACGCUGAAUAAAUGUGUCUUUUUUUUAAAUGUGCUGUGUAAAGUUAGUCUACUCUGAAGCCAUCUUGGUAAACUUCCCCAAUAGUGUGAAGUUAGAAUUCCUUCAGUGUGGUGCCAAAUUCCAUUUGGAAUUUAUUUAUGGUUGCUUGGGUGGAGAAGCCAUUGUCUUCAAAAACCUUGGUGUUGCUAAACUGCCAGUUACUGUUGUAAAUUAAUUAGUUUCACCAUUUAAAGGGUCAUCCAAGCAAGAUCACAAUUUGGUUAUAAAAUGGUUGUUGGCACACCCUAUGCAAUAUCAAAAUUGAAUAACGGUAUCAGAUAAAAUAACAGAUGGAAUGAAGCUUGUGUAUCAUCCAUUAUCAUGUGUACUCAAUAAACGACUUAAUUCUCUUG
rnacentral:lncRNA from 1 species